rnacentral:hammerhead_ribozyme from 1 species
AUCCAGCUGACCAGUCCCAAAUAAGACGAAACACUUUUCCUAGAG